rnacentral:tRNA from 1 species
GCCGGUGUGUUGGAAUUGGCAGACGAGGCGGACUCAAAAUCCGUUGGUAGCGAUACCGUGCGGGUUCGACCCCCGCCACCGGCACCA